rnacentral:rRNA from 1 species
UACGUAGGCAGCGAGCGUUGUUCGGAGUUACUGGGCGUAAAGGGUGUGUAGGCGGUUGUUUAAGUUUGGGGUGAAAUCUCCCGGCUCAACUGGGAGGGUGCGCCGAAUACUGAAUGACUAGAGUGCGGGAGAGGAGAGUGGAAUUCCUGGUGUAGCGGUGAAAUGCGUAGAUAUCAGGAGGAACACCGGUGGUGUAGACGGCCCUCUGGACCGUAACUGACGCUGAGACACGAAAGCGUGGGUAGCAAACAGG